GAUGAACGCUGGCGGCGUGCUUAACACAUGCAAGUCGAACGGGGUUUAGCGAGAGCUUGCUUUUGCUAAACCUAGUGGCGGACGGGUGAGUAACGCGUGAGUAACCUGCCUUAGACUGGGGGAUAACACUUAGAAAUAGGUGCUAAUACCGCAUAAGCGCACAGUGCCGCAUGGCACAGUGUGAAAAACUCCGGUGGUCUAAGAUGGACUCGCGUCUGAUUAGCUAGUUGGUGAGGUAACGGCCCACCAAGGCGACGAUCAGUAGCCGGCCUGAGAGGGUGAACGGCCACAUUGGGACUGAGACACGGCCCAAACUCCUACGGGAGGCAGCAGUGGGGGAUAUUGCACAAUGGGCGAAAGCCUGAUGCAGCGACGCCGCGUGAGUGAAGAAGUAUUUCGGUAUGUAAAGCUCUAUCAGCAGGAAGAAAAUGACGUAC
rnacentral:rRNA from 1 species